GUAGGGGGCUAGCGUUGUCCGGAUUUAUUGGGCGUAAAGAGCGCGUAGGCGGCCGGGUAAGUCCGACGUGAAAUCUGGAGGCUCAACCUCCAGCGGUCGUUGGAAACUACUCGGCUAGAGUCCGGAAGAGGAGAGUGGAAUUCCUGGUGUAGCGGUGAAAUGCGCAGAUAUCAGGAAGAACACCGAUGGCGAAAGCAGCUCUCUGGGACGGUACUGACGCUGAGGCGCGAAAGCGUGGGGAGCGAACAGGAUUAGAUACCCUGGUAGUCCACGCCGUAAACGAUGGGUGCUAGGUGUGGGCGGUGUCGACUCCGCCCGUGCCGAAGCUAACGCAUUAAGCACCCCGCCUGGGGAGUACGGCCGCAAGGCUAAA
rnacentral:rRNA from 1 species